GUUGUUAACUUGGUUUUUGGUUUCUGAUUUCAAUUUGUUAAAAUAGAUCAGAUUACUUUUGGUCAUGAACAAUUUAUUUUGAAGUUUAGGAAACUGGUGACGUCAGCCUGCCCUGCAAAAAUUACUUGCAGCGAUACCCAAGGGUUUGGGAGUGUGAGUCAAGCUGCCACAACUAACGACUUCCUGGGCUGCGAGUAUCACCAUAAUUAAGUACGGCCAUGGUUUGUAGUCGUCUGAUGUGUACUACUUUUCUGCUCCUGCUCACCACUGUGGUGAAUCAGCAGCAGGAAGAUCCCUGUGCAAGUAGCGACGGGAAUGGCAGAUGUGGUCUCAAUGCAAUUUGUAUGGUUGGGGAGAAUUCCAAGGCAGUUUGUAGUUGCCCUCCCGGAUUCGAUUCCAAUCCGAAUUCAGUGGGAUGCUAUCGAAAUGAGUCCACGCGGCUGGGGUGCGAUGGAAGCAAAGCAGAAAUGCAGGAUAUUGGCCACGUAGAUUGGAUGUACAACGAUUAUGAGCACUUAACGAUGGUGGAUAAAAGUUCAUGCAAGCAGGCCUGCCUCGACGAUUGCGAGUGCACAGUAGCUAUUUCGCUAAUCUCCCCGACACCACUCACUGUUGGAAGAAGGCAAUGCCUUUGAGAUAUGGCGGUGCAUCGAGUACCAGAACAGCUUUUGUCAAAGUUUCCAACAGAAAUGAAAUACGUGUGGUCAGAUAUGGCGGUGCAUCUUUAAUAUCUUACUCUUUUUGGACUCCAUAUGAUUCUAUAAAGAGAGAUUCAUAUUGUCAAAUAGGAGGAAGAUGGAAUGUUCUUGGAUGUCAUGAAAGAAGUGUGACGCUCUGCAUAAGGAUCAAAGCUUGAGAAAGGCCUACACUGCUUUAAGUGGUAGUAAGUUCUAAAAAUGUAAAAGACUACUAAAUUCACUUCCACCCAAACGAAGUGCAGAUAUACUUUGAUUAUAUAUCUUAAGGGCAGGGAAAAAUUGUAUGAAAUGUAAAUUAUUUUCUUUUUGGUAAUAUUUAAUAAUAUAUAUCAAAAUUAAAUAA